AUUGAACGCUAACGGCAUGCUUAACACAUGCAAGUCGAACGGCAGCACAGUAGUAGCAAUACUAUGGGUGGCGAGUGGCGGACGGGUGAGUAAUACAUAGGAAUCUGCCUUAUAGUGGGGGAUAACCCGGGGAAACUCGGGCUAAUACCGCAUAAUCUCUACGGAGCAAAGUGUGGGACCUUCGGGCCAUACGCCAAAAAAUGAGCCUAUGUCGGAUUAGCUAGUUGGUGGGGUAAAGGCCUACCAAGGCAACGAUCCGUAGCUGGUCUGAGAGGAUGAUCAGCCACACUGGGACUGAGACACGGCCCAGACUCCUACGGGAGGCAGCAGUGGGGAAUAUUGGACAAUGAGCGAAAGCCUGAUCCAGCAAUGCCGUGUGUGUGAAGAAGGCCUUCGGGUUGUAAAGCACUUUUAGUUGGGAAGAAAAGUUCAUGGCUAAUAUCCAUGAAUGCUGACGUUACCAACAGAAAAAGCACUGGCUAACUCUGUGCCAGCAGCCGCGGUAA
rnacentral:rRNA from 1 species